rnacentral:rRNA from 1 species
AUUGAACGCUGGCGGCAUGCUUUACACAUGCAAGUCGAACGGUAACAGGCCUUCGGGUGCUGACGAGUGGCGGACGGGUGAGUAAUGCAUCGGAACGUACCCAGAGGUGGGGGAUAACGCAGCGAAAGCUGUGCUAAUACCGCAUGUGAUCUGAGGAUGAAAGCGGGGGACCGAGCAGCAAUGUUUGGCCUCGCGCCUUUGGAGCGGCCGAUGUCGGAUUAGCUAGUUGGUGGGGUAAAGGCCUACCAAGGCGACGAUCCGUAGCUGGUCUGAGAGGACGACCAGCCACACUGGGACUGAGACACGGCCCAGACUCCUACGGGAGGCAGCAGUGGGGAAUGUUGGACAAUGGGCGGAAGCCUGAUCCAGCAAUGCCGCGUGCGGGAAGAAGGCCUUCGGGUUGUAAACCGCUUUUGGCAGGAACGAAACGGUGUCCGCUAAUACCGGGCGCUAAUGACGGUACCUGCAGAAUAAGCACCGGCUAACUACGUG